rnacentral:rRNA from 1 species
GAUGAACGCUAGCGGGAGGCCUAACACAUGCAAGCCGAGCGGUAGAGUCUCUUCGGAGACUUGAGAGCGGCGCACGGGUGCGGAACACGUGUGCAACCUGCCUUUAUCUGGGGGAUAGCCUUUCGAAAGGAAGAUUAAUACCCCAUAAUAUACUGGAUGGCAUCAUCUGGUAUUGAAAACUCCGGUGGAUAGAGAUGGGCACGCGCAAGAUUAGAUAGUUGGUGAGGUAACGGCUCACCAAGUCAGCGAUCUUUAGGGGGCCUGAGAGGGUGAUCCCCCACACUGGUACUGAGACACGGACCAGACUCCUACGGGAGGCAGCAGUGAGGAAUAUUGGACAAUGGGUGAGAGCCUGAUCCAGCCAUCCCGCGUGAAGGACGACGGCCCUAUGGGUUGUAAACUUCUUUUGUAUAGGGAUAAACCUAGAUACGUGUAUCUAGCUGAAGGUACUAUACGAAUAAGCACCGGCUAACUCCGCG